UUCCUGGGGUAUCUCUAAGCAUGUGGUGCAGACGACAGAAGAGUGCCAAAUACUUCCUUACACCCUUGAAAUGAAGAUGAUGUGAAAAAGAAAUACAGCCUAUAACUAUUGGAAGUGCUGAGGCUAAAACUGAAUCCAUCAAAUACCUUCUUGGGUGGGAAGAGCAAAGUCACUGCAUCCUCGGGAGAGAGAUGAGGAGGGAUUGCUUCAUGCUGGAGACAUGGCAGAGGUGGAGGAAGCCUGGGUCUUGCUGUAGCAUGCUCUCUGUUAUACUGUGGAUCGUUGCACCCCAAAGAAAGCAAAGGGGAGGCUUGUGCUGCUUCAAAUAAAAGAGCACACAGCCACCACCUUUCAGCCAAGACCACACCUAUUUAUGAAAUAAGGAC